AGUGAACGCUGGCGGUGGGCCUAACACAUGCAAGUCGAACGGCAGCACAGUAAGAGCUUGCUCUUACGGGUGGCGAGUGGCGGGCGGGUGAGGAAUACAUCGGAAUCUACUUUUUCGUGGGGGUUAACGUAGGGAAACUUAAGAUAAUACCACAUACGCCCUACGGGUGAAAGCGGGGGAUCUUCUGACCUUGCGCGAUUGAAUGCGCCGAUGUCGGAUUAGCUAGUUGGCGGGGUAAAUGCCCACCAAGGCGACGAUCCGUAGCUGGUCUGAGAGGCUGGUCGGCGGCACGGGAGCGGAGACGCGGUCCAGGCGCCUGCGGGAGGGAGCAGUGGGGAAUGUGGGACAAUGGGCGCAAGCCUGAUCCAGCCAGACCGCGUGGGUGAAGGAGGCCUUCGGUUUGUAAAGCCCGUUUGUUGGGAAAGAAAAGCAGCAGGUUGAGACCCCGCUGUUCUGACGGUACCCAAAGAAGAAGCACCGGCUAACUUCGUG
rnacentral:rRNA from 1 species